rnacentral:rRNA from 1 species
UAAGGAAUAUUGGACAAUGGACGAAAGUCUGAUCCAGCCAUGCCGCGUGAAGGAUUAAGGUCCUCUGGAUUGUAAACUUCUUUUAUAUGGGACGAAAAAAGGGUAUUCUUACUCACUUGACAGUACCAUAUGAAUAAGCACCGGCUAACUCCGUGCCAGCAGCCGCGGUAAUACGGAGGGUGCAAGCGUUAUCCGGAUUCACUGGGUUUAAAGGGUGCGUAGGUGGAUAGGUAAGUCAGAGGUGAAAUCUCGGAGCUUAACUCCGAAACUGCCUUUGAUACUAUCUAUCUUGAAUAUUGUGGAGGUUUGCGGAAUAUGUCAUGUAGCGGUGAAAUGCUUAGAUAUGACAUGGAACACCUAUUGCGAAGGCAGCAGGCUACACAUAUAUUGACACUGAGGC